rnacentral:rRNA from 1 species
UGGGGCUACACACGUCAUACAAUGGCCGGUACAGGAGGGUAGCCCAACCCGCGAGGGGGAGCCAAUCCCACAAAGCCGGUCGUAGUCCGGAUCGCAGUCUGCAACUCGACUGCGUGAAGUCGGAAUCGCUAGUAAUCGCGGAUCAGCAUGUCGCGGUGAAUACGUUCCCGGGUCUU